GAUGAAGAACGUAGCGAAAUGUGAUACGUAAUGUGAAUUGCAAAUUCAGUGAAUCAUCGAGUCUUUGAACGCACAUUGCGCCCCCUGGUAUUCCGGGGGGCAUGCCUGUCCGAGCGUCAUUGCUGCCCUCAAGCACGGCUUGUGUGUUGGGCCCCGUCCUCCGAUCCCGGGGGACGGGCCCGAAAGGCAGCGGCGGCACCGCGUCCGGUCCUCGAGCGUAUGGGGCUUUGUCACCCGCUCUGUAGGCCCGGCCGGCGCUUGCCGAUCAACCCAAAUUUUUAUCCAGGUUGACCUCGGAUCAGGAAGGGAUACCCGCUGAACUUAAGCAUAUCAAUAAGCGGAGGA
rnacentral:misc_RNA from 1 species